UACGGAGGGUGCAAGCGUUAAUCGGAAUUAGUGGGCGUAAAGCGCACGCAGGCGGUCUGUCAAGUCGGAUGUGAAAUCCCCGGGCUCAACCUGGGAACUGCAUCCGAAACUGGCAGGCUAGAGUCUUGUAGAGGGGGGUAGAAUUCCGGGUGUAGCGGUGGAAUGCGUAGAGAUCCGGAGGAACAUCUGAGGCGAAGGCGGCCAGCUGGGCCUGAUCUGACGCUGAGGUACGAAAGCAUGGGGAGCAAACAGG
rnacentral:misc_RNA from 1 species